rnacentral:rRNA from 1 species
GACGUAGGGCGCAAGCGUUGUCCGGAUUUAUUGGGCGUAAAGAGCUUGUAGGCGGUUUGUCGCGUCUGCUGUGAAAUUUCGGGGCUCAACCCCGAACUUGCAGUGGGUACGGGCAGACUAGAGUGUGGUAGGGGAGACUGGAAUUCCUGGUGUAGCGGUGAAAUGCGUAGAUAUCAGGAGGAACACCGAUGGCGAAGGCAGGUCUCUGGGCCAUAACUGACGCUGAGAAGCGAAAGCAUGGGGAGCGAACAGG